rnacentral:rRNA from 1 species
ACGAACGCUGGCGGCGUGGAUAAGGCAUGCAAGUCGAACGCCCAGCUCAAGUUUAGCAAUAAACUGGAGCUGGGAGUGGCAAACGAGGUAGUAAUACAUAGGUAACUUACCCCGAAGUCGGGCAUAAUCCCGCGAAAGCGGGACUAAUUCCCGAUAUCGUGGCAACACAAAAGGCGCAAGCCGCUUUGGGAGAGGCCUAUGGGCUAUCAGCUAGUUGGUAGGGUAAUGGCCUACCAAGGCUAUGACGGCUAGGGGAGGUGAGAGCCUGACCCCCACCGAUGGAACUGAGACACGGUCCAUACACCUACGGGUGGCAGCAGUCGAGAAUAUUCGACAAUGGGCGAAAGCCUGAUCGAGCGACGCCGCGUGAAGGAUGAAAUUCUUCGGGAUGUAAACUUCUUUUGGCAGGGAAAAACUCAAUGAUGGUACCUGCCGAAUAAGGGCCUGCAAAUCUCGU